rnacentral:rRNA from 1 species
GUGGGGGAUAUUGCACAAUGGAGGAAACUCUGAUGCAGCGACGCCGCGUGAGUGAAGAAGUAUUUCGGUAUGUAAAGCUCUAUCAGCAGGGAAGAUAAUGACAGUACCUGACUAAGAAGCCCCGGCUAACUACGUGCCAGCAGCCGCGGUAAUACGUAGGGGGCAAGCGUUAUCCGGAUUUACUGGGUGUAAAGGGAGUGUAGACGGAAUGGCAAGUCUGAAGUGAAAUCCUGCGGCUUAACUGCAGAAUUGAUUUGGUAACUGUCAAUCUGGAGUGUUGGAGAGGUAAUCGGAAUUCCUGGUGUAGCGGUGAAAUGCGUAGAUAUCAGGAAGAACACCGGAGGCGAAGGCGGCUUACUGGACAAUAACUGACGUUGAGGCUCGAAAGCGUGGGAAGCAAACAGGAUUAGAAACCCCAGUAGUCC